GCUUGUCUCAAAGAUUAAGCCAUGCAUGUCUAAGUAUAAACUGCUUUAUACUGUGAAACUGCGAAUGGCUCAUUAAAUCAGUUAUAGUUUAUUUGAUGGUACUUACUUACUCGGAUAACCGUAGUAAUUCUAGAGCUAAUACAUGCACAAAAUCCCGACUUACGAAGGGAUGUAUUUAUUAGAUACAAACCAACAUCGUGGUGAUUCAUAAUAACUUUCGGAUCGAUCUUCGGAUCGAUGCAUCAUUCAAGUUUCUGCCCUAUCAGCUUUGGAUGGUAGGGUAUUGGCCUACCAUGGCUUUAACGGGUAACGGAGAAUUAGGGUUCGAUUCCGGAGAGGGAGCCUGAGAAAUGGCUACCACAUCCAAGGAAGGCAGCAGG
rnacentral:rRNA from 1 species